GCUCCUCAUCGAAAUGACUUCGCUGUUAACUCUCGUCUCUCUUUCAGAUCCUCGGCUCCUCCCUCGCGCCUCCCGACUUUCUUCCCGUCUGGAGGGACCCUAGCAGGGUUACGUUCCAUGGUUUCCGGACUAACAUGCGGAAAGCUUGCUUCUUGGACGAUCGCCGCCGUCCUGCUUCAGAUCCUCGGCCUCUCGUUCUUCAUGAUAGGUUUCUUCCCCGUUAAACCUACUCUCCCGGGCUUCAGCGGGCCAGAGAGCUAUCGAAUGCCAACAUGUGAACCAGUGUUGAACGCUCAGGACAGCGAGCUACCUCCGGAGAAGCUGAGAUCCUUCUACAAGGAACUAUCUAAGGUGCCUCCAUCAUAUGAUCGACUUGUAUUAAUGGUUAUCGAUGGACUGCCUGCUGAAUUUGUUCUGGGAAGAGAUAACAAGCCUCCAACCAAGACCAUGACGGAGGCUAUGCCGUAUACUCAAUCUUUGUUGUCAGCUGGAAAAGCUAGAGCUUAUCAUGCUAAAGCUGAACCUCCUACAGUUACCAUGCCUAGGUUAAAGGCUAUGGUUUCUGGCGCAGUUGGAGGUUUUUUGGAUGUGGCAUUUAACUUUAAUACUCAAGCUCUAUUGGAUGAUAAUCUCCUUGACCAAUUCAAGCGUAUUGGAUGGAACCUAGUGAUGCUUGGGGAUGAAACAUGGAUUAAACUUUUCCCUAAAUUAUUUAUAAGACAAGAUGGAGUGAGCAGCUUUUUUGUGAAAGAUACAAUUGAAGUUGAUUUCAACAUUUCUCGUCAUCUGGAUGCUGAACUGGCUGCUGAAGAUUGGAAUCUCCUGAUUCUUCAUUACCUUGGCUUGGACCAUGUUGGCCACAUCGGUGGACGACAUAGUAUACUGAUGGCCCCAAAGUUGAAGGAGAUGGAUGAUGUCAUUAUGAUGAUUCAUACGCACACUAUUCUGCAUCAACGCAAUAAUGCUGCAGACACAUUAUUGGUAGUUGUCAGUGACCAUGGAAUGACUUCUAGUGGAAACCAUGGAGGAUCAUCAUAUGAAGAAACUGAUUCACUAGCUCUUUUCAUUGGUCUGUCUAUUGAGAAUUCAGAUAGUGCUUUCAAUGUGCCAAUGUCUGCUUCUCAGGUAGAUGUUGCUCCAACUCUAGCUCUUCUUUUUGGCGUGCCCAUUCCAAAUAACAAUAUAGGAGUCAUCCUGAGGGGGAUGCUUGAUUCAUUGACAGAUGAGCAAAGGCUUCGAGCCUUACAGUUGAAUUCCUGGCAGAUGUUAAGAUUAUUGCAAGAACAUUCACCUGGCUUACUUUGUGGGAAUUUGACUGGCAUUGGUGGUGACAUUGGUUUGUUAACUAAUCAAGAUGUUGACAGCACAAACGAAAAACUAGGUUACUUGUUUUCCAAAGCUACGUCGUCUCAUAAUAUGUGGUUACUCCGUCAAACUUCUGAUGUAACAUCAAAUUCAAAUGAUGAUCUUGAACUUGCUGUCAGUUCAUAUUAUAAAUUUCUAGGAAAUGCGAGUGAGUGGCUGUCUCACAGAGCUACUGAUAAACCCAUCAACUUGCUUCUGUCUGGUAUUGCUAUAAUGCUUAUCUCAUGUAUUCUACAACUGAACAUCGUGUUUAAGUUAUUCAAAGAAGUCUUCAUUAUAGAGAGGAAGCAUUUCUCUCUGUCAAAAGAAUUGAAUCAAGUGUGGCAUAUUGAUGAAUCUUUUACUCUUAUUGGAAUAUUAAUCCAUGUUCUUAGCCUUGGUGCAAGUUCCAUGGUGGAGGAAGAGCAAUAUACUUGGCAUUUCUUGACAUCCACACUCUUUUUGAUAUUUCUCUUAUCAGUUAUCAGAUCCUCUCUAAAAACACCUGCAUCAUACUUCAUGAAAAGUAACAAGCAUGAAAACAACCAUCCUCUUCGCAAGUCACUGUCAAAUGAGGAAAGCGGUCCCACUACCAAUGACAAAUCAUCUCGAUCAAAACAACUACAUGAAAAUUAUCAAGCAUCCUUGAUACUACUUGUUCUCAUUUUGGGAAGAGUAUUAAGAGGAUGGCAUCAAGGUGGUGUUAACUGGGCUCAUCUUCCUGAUAUAUCAAAGUUGCUGAUCCAAACUGGUGAUUUCUAUAUUAAGGCUUUUCAAAUAAUCACAUUACUUGGUCUCAUGGUGCUUGGUUCAUUUGCCUUUUCACUUGUGCGACGAAGGAUAUCCUUAGUUUACAUUGUUUGGAUUAGCUAUUUCAUAUGUGGAUUUCUUGUUUUACUACACAUAAUUGAUAGUCAGAGCAAUAUUAUAGGACCAACAUAUUCUAGUGUCAAUUCAAUGGCUCAAAUCAUCUAUAUUUGUGUUGGAAGUGUGAUACUCUUUACUGUGUUUGUAUCUCCAUGGGUUCUUCCUGUUGAUCAUGAAGUGGGUAGUGUUAUAACUGGAUUGAAAUCAAGUUCACAGAGUAAUGAUAUGCAAAGUUCUAGUUUUCUGCUGGGAGUUAGAGAUUGCACAUACCUGAUUGGAACCACAUUCACUGUUUUUUGGUGUUUGUUACAACUGCUUCUGCAGCAGCGAAUAAAUGAUAUACCAGUGCUGAUAGUUUAUUUACAAGAAAUGGCCAGCAUAAUCUAUUUCUCAUCGUAUAGAACUAAACACCGGCAGUGGGUUGAGGUUGCUGCAAUGUAUUUUUUAGGAAUGACAGGCCAUUUUGGUCUGGGGAACAGUAACAGUCUGGCUACUAUUGACGUUGCUGGGGCAUUUAUUGGUAUCUCAAAUCAUUCCACCGUUCUUUCUGGCAUACUGAUGUUCAUCAUCACCUAUGCAGCACCUUUGUUAGCAUUCCUGAGCAUGCUAAUCUAUAUUUCUGUAAAGGAUAUGAAUGAUCUUUUACCAAACCACCCAGGAUUGGAUACAUUACAUUUGAUGAUUGGAUUUCCUUGUCUGCUUCCCUUGGUCUUAAAUUCGGUGGUUUUAGUUGCUUUCACUAUCAUAUUGCUGCUUAUGAGAAACCAUCUGUUUGUUUGGAGUGUCUUCUCACCAAAGUAUCUUUAUCUUUGUGCUUCAACAGUGUGUGUUUACAUCGGGGUACUCAUAAUAGCUUUCACUGUGGUUUACACUAGAUCUGUAUUAGCUGUGAGAAGUGGUGUGAAAUCAAGUCUGUACACGAAUAGUUUGGAUACAAAAUCUGUAUCAGACGACUAAAGAGCAAUUUCUUCAGUGAUUAUGAGUCGAUGCAUGUUGGCAACCCAUUCUCGAGGGCAAUAAUCACUCGGUUAAUGUGUACGCUCUCUGGAGAUUGUUGGUGAGGAGGAUGAAAGGACCUGAAAGGUACUUCAGAAGAGAAUUAGAAUGAUGUCGAAGAGGGUUCCGGUAAGUCAUUUUGAUGCUCAAGUUAAAGUUUCUUCAAGUACGAAACUAGAAAAAGAAGAAGAGAGUUUAGUGGAGUUGAAGAGGUAGCGAGAGUCCUUCCUGUUUACCUUCUUUAGUAUUUAUAUA